rnacentral:misc_RNA from 1 species
CGCAUGACAACAGGACAAAUAUUGUCCUCCUGCCAACACGGCGUGCGACAAGCUUCAAAAGGGACAAGUAACUCGGGCAACGAGGGGUGAUAAACCCCGACCGAUCGUCUUUCCGCAUGCAAGACUCCGAGCGACACAGGGGCAUCCGUUGCCCGCUAGCUAAAACAGCAUAGCGAGGACGGGAGUCCAAGUGAGCUUCGAUUUCUACGUGCACCAAACACUUGGCACAAGAUAGAGAAGGGACGGUUGCGCUAGCGAAUACCUUCAAGUAAGGUAUGCAUCACAGGGGGCCAUACCGACCGAGGCAAAUGACUGAGCACUCGGACUAAACUGAAAAGGUGCGAACCAUCGAUUGUCGCUGCCGAGGCAGGGAACCAACCAAACGGAACAUACC